rnacentral:rRNA from 1 species
UGGUGGAGUGAUUUGUCUGGUUAAUUCCGUUAACGAACGAGACCUCGACCUGCUAAAUAGUUUGGCGACCCUCCGAGUUCGUGCUGACUUCUUAGAGGGACUAUCGGUGCGUAGCCGAUGGAAGUUCGAGGCAAUAACA